rnacentral:ncRNA from 1 species
GACGAGGUGAAAUGCGGGUUGUAGUUGAUGAACACGUAGCCGCGCGCCUGGUCGAUGAUGUGGAACAGCGGGUUCCAGUCGAACAGGACCAGCAGGUAGCCGGGCAGCGAGUUGGCGACGAACAUCUUGCCGCUGAAGAUCAUGUUGGCGCGG